rnacentral:rRNA from 1 species
GAUCAUAGCUCAGGAUGAACGCUAGCGACAGGCUUAACACAUGCAAGUCGAGGGGCGGCACAGGUAGCAAUACCGGGUGGCGACCGGCGCACGGGUGAGUAACGCGUAUGCAACUUACCUAUCAGAGGGGGAUAACCCGGCGAAAGUCGGACUAAUACCGCAUGAAGCAGGGGUCCCGCAUGGGGAUAUUUGCUAAAGAUUCAUCGCUGAUAGAUAGGCAUGCGUUCCAUUAGG